ACAUGUGACCGUACCUCCUUGCCAAAGCCUGAUCUUGUCAAAUCUCAGAAGCUAAGUAAGAAUGGGCCUAGAUAGUACUUGGAUGGGAGGCUGCUGGGAAUAUCAGGUGCCAUAGUG
rnacentral:rRNA from 1 species